rnacentral:misc_RNA from 1 species
GAUGAAGAACGUAGCGAAAUGCGAUAAGUAAUGCGAAUUGCAGAAUUCCGUGAGUCAUCGAAUCUUUGAACGCACAUUGCGCCCCCUGGUAUUCCGGAGGGCAUGUCUGUCCGAGCGUCAUUAGUCCAAUCUCAAGCCCGGCUUGUCGUUGGGUCGCACCGCCCGGGGCGGUGGACCCGAAAUAUAAUGACGGGGUCUAGCGGACCGUGGGCGCAGCGAGCUUUUACAGCACGCGUCCCGGCGUCAUCUAGACGCGUCUCCAACCAUACUCUCUGUAGGUUGACCUCGGAUCAGACAGGAUUACCCGCUGAACUUAAGCAUAUCAAUAAGCGGAGGA